ACCUUGCUAGCUCAAUCUAUAGAGCAUGAGACUCUUACUUCUAGUCGUUCCCUUUGCAGUUUAUCAUCUCAAGGUUGGGUGUUCAAGCCCCCUCUAGGGCU